AGCUUGGUAGAUGGGAUGACAGAAUAUUUUAUGAUCAUCCCACGUCUGGCCUGGGACAAAGGAGAGGCGGACAGCGUGUGGAGAUGUAUUAAAAAAUUAACUAGUGACCCAAAAUACCCCAGAACAUGGUGGAAUAAUUAUAUAUGGGAGUUAAUGUCCUUAGGUGGACAUGUACGAGGUCCUUUUCCUGGUAUGAUUCCGAAAACGAGUCAUGAUGCAUGGCUUGUGAAUAGCACAUCGAAGAGAUGGGCUCUGAAUGUGUCAUAUGAAAUGUGGACGGAGGAUGUUCAUGGCUUAAUGGGACAUUUUGCCCCAAACGGGUUUGAUAAGCCAGGGCGAGUGACAGAGUACGAUGUCCUUUUUGGACAAUGGUGGGCUACCAAUCUGACAGAAGGGGUGUUAGAAUGCAGGCCUAAAGAGAGACUCGGCUCUACAAUCUUUUGGAUGGCUAAUUUACUGGCGUUAUUGAACCCAGCUACAGUCCCAACGAUUAAAGAUGUAAAUGUGAAAAAAGGUGUAAAUAUGACUCCUCCGUUCGUGAGGAUGGAGAAACAUGGCAGUUUAAUAGAACUGACUAUGGUCCGAUCUCAAGGUCCACAUCUAGAUGAUUUGUACUCCACUCCAGCUUAUUCAAAGUUUCGGUUUAUGAAUAUGACAUGGGGGCAUUAUUCUGGAGAGCUGCGAGACUUGGAGUAUGAUUAUGCGUAUCGCGAACAAGCUUUACGAUUCAGGGAAGCAAAUUGGGUGCGAAAUUCUCUGUUAACCAGGUGGUGUAGGUCUGAUGCGUGCUUCAGAACUCUGGCCCAGCCCGCUACGAAAAUUGCUGUUAGAAAUGGGAAAAAUGUGUAUAAUCCUUAUGAACUGGGCGGCUUCGUUGACCCUCACGGUUACCCCCACUGGUGGCACUCAAAUUGGAGCAGUUACGUCGUCUGGGACUCAGAGAAUUUCCCAUCAUUAGGAGUAGGAUGGGGUUACUUUGCCAACUCGAAAGGCCCCAAAGCUUGUUUUUGUCAGGAGGACAUAGAUGCUGUUGAAUACAGGAGCGACUUGGGUAUAUGGCCCUUUCAAGCAUGGAUUCCUGUUGGUGGGGGUCGUUGGGAGCAGAACUGUUCUGGUUCCUUUCAUUUUCCCAAUCGGACAGGCACAUGUUGGUUGAGUGAAAGAGCUAGGAUGUCUGAUUGGCAAUUUGUCCAGAAGGGUUUUAAAAUUAUUGGCCAAGGAUUAACCUUAGGUAUCAGAGAGGCCGUCAAGGUGGUCGCCCAGGGAGCAGUGGGUGUUGCCUCUCUGGUAAUCUCUGAAUUAUGGGUUUACGCCAAGGUCCCUGUGAUCGUAGGAGGGGUCCUGGUGAUGUUAUCUGUUUGUGUUAAACUCAUGCAUCUUUUGAAGUGUUUUGCCAGCUGCAGCAGGAGAUCUGCUAAUCAGCCCCGAUGGCAGGAGGAAGGGCCUCCUGAGUCAAUUAGAUUGGGACCACGUGGACGCCGGGCACUCAGGAACAGAGCUGCACGCAGGUAGCAUCUCCCUUGUAGAGAAAGUUCUCAAGGUAUCAUGGCCCGUGCAGAAUCUCCACGUGAGGUAUUUGAAGAAGCAGAUGAGGAUGUGCUGAUUACCUCGAAUUACUGAUGGAGAAGUGUCUGGCUGCAUUUUGUGAGAAAGACCUGACCUCAUGUUCACAGAGGAUGGUUGAUGAAUCAGAGGAUCUAUUGCCUGGCCCAGACUCUCAGGAGAUGCUGGUGCUGCCACCCAGUGGACAGAAGCCGCUGGUGAACAAGCGACGUCAGCCUGGGGUGAUGCCACCCAAGAGAGUUUCACUUUACGGGCUGGUGGAUGGUAAACCUGUAAGGAUAAACCCGAAUGGACCGUGGAACGCACAUGUUUGGGAAUGUAUUGUGUUGGUCUCUGAUGGUACCAGUCAUAAAGGGACUCGAGUGGCGAGGAGGGAGAAGAUUCUUCAGAGAAUUACACGCUCGACUUUAGUUAAGCAUUUUGAUUGUGUCAGGCGCGAUGUGUCGCGGGGCCAGACGCGCUUGCCCUGUGUACUCUCCCAUUUCAGGGAAGGCGACGUAGACUGGUGCUGGAUCAGUACACCCCACAACGACUACGUGCAGGAGUGCGAAGAGCCAAGGCGUGUGGUCAGGAUACAACCAUCACCUGCUAAAGUGGACGUUCCGAUGCAGGAAGUGAGCCCUCCGGAGUUCGAUCUGCGUCAGCAACUUCAGGCCGCUCCGUCUGUCCAGGCCAUGGUGCCACCAGUGAUGAAUGCAUUAAAUCCACAUGUUUGCUUGUAUCCAGGGAAUUUGAAUAUGCAGUAUUUUCCGCAGUUUAUGCCAUUUAACCAAGCCUGGUUUCAAGGGGGGUGUUGAAUAAAGAUUUUCGAUUCCUCCAGACCUGUCUUAUUAUAUAAUAGCAGUUCUGGAUUACAUCUCAAAUCUGUAUGUUAGUGAAACCAGGCUUCAGGGUUCAGCUAGAGGUCUGUGUGUGGUGAUUUGACUCCUGAUCUCAUGCUGCCAUAAAUGAUGUGUGUGUUUCAACUAAUCUGCUAUCCAUGACAAAUUUAUGUUGUAGUUUAACCUUGUAUCGACUUUUUAUGGUGUAGCCCAGGAUGUGAUAAGAACUUCAGGGACACGUAUGGAGAUGUUCAUGUUUGACUUCCUUUGAUCUGAGCUGAAGAAGGAAGAAGGAGGAGGGAAGACCCCCGCCCAUCUGGCUGAUACCGGAGGGGGCUGGGAGAAGACCCAAGGCCGGAGAAUGCUUCCGAGGCAGGGGUUGCCAUGGAGACGGAAGGGGGGCCAGAGGAGAGAGUUGGGGAGAAUAAAAGUGUGAGGGCUCCGUGGGCAAGGGGCUUUUUGGUCUCUGGGGGCUUUUUGGGUGUUUGGGGAGAGUUUGGAGGACAACUGUAACGGUUGAGUGAUCUGACCCGCUGCGUCGGGAAAUCUGGAAUAUUUUUACUUCAUCAUAUAAAAUAAAAUAUUUGCUCCUUCAUAUAAGGGGCUUUAAACGGAA